GUGCUCACUUUGGCAGCACAUACACUAAAACUGGAACAAUACAGAGGAGAUUAGCUUGGCCUCUGUGCAAAGAUGACACAGAAAUUCAUGAAGUAUACACUGUAUUU